rnacentral:rRNA from 1 species
AGGAGUUUGAUCCUGGCUCAGGACGAACGUUGGCGGUGCGCUUAAUGCAUGCAAGUCGAGGGAGAAGCAUUUGUUCCGUAAGGUUCAGAUGUGGAAACCGGCGAACGGGUGCGUAACACGUGAGAAACCUGCCCCCUUGACCGGGAUAGCCCGAGGAAACUCGGAUUAAUACCGGAUACUCUCUUUGGAUCGCAUGAUCCGCUGAGGAAACAGUCCGCUGCUAGGGGAUGGUCUCGCGGCCUAUCAGGUAGUUGGUGAGGUAACGGCUCACCAAGCCUAAGACGGGUAGCUGGUCUGAGAGGACGAUCAGCCACACUGGAACUGAGACACGGUCCAGACUCCUACGGGAGGCAGCAGCAGGGAAUAUUGCACAAUGGGCGAAAGCCUGAUGCAGCGACACCGCGUGCGGGAUGACGGCCUUAGGGUUGUAAACCGCUUUCAGGAGGGAAGAAAAUGACGGUACCUCCAGAAGAAGCUCCGGCCAACUACGUGCCAGCAGCCGCGGUAAUACGUAGGGAGCAAACGUUGUCCGGAUUUAUUGGGCGUAAAGGGCUCGUAGGCGGUUCAACAAGUCGAUCGUGAAAGCCAGGGGCUCAACCCCUGGAGGCCGGUCGAAACUGUUGUGACUAGAGUUCGGUAGAGGUGAGUGGAAUUCUCGGUGUAGCGGUGGAAUGCGCAGAUAUCGAGAGGAACACCAUU